AUCAUCAUCUAAACAAAUAUCAAUUGAUACUUUCGAGCAUCCCUUGCCCCUUGCACAAAUGAUUGACUUCAUAAUAGCCAUUUUACCUGUAAAAAAGAAAACAAUUAAAAUCAGAUGACAAAUGUAAAAACAAUUAAAAUCAUAAAAGUCAUUUUACCUGUAAUAAAGAAAACAAUUAAAAUCAUUUGACCUGUACCUUUU
rnacentral:lncRNA from 1 species